GGUUGCCUACGGUGCUCAACCUUUACCUGUUUCUACUGGUGGCUUCCUGGUAGGCUGCCACAGUUCUACUUGCGUUAUUCACUCCGACUGCCCACGGCACUCAACCUUUACCUGCUCCUACUAGUGACCUCGUAGUAGGUGGCCUUGGUCCUACUUGCGUUAUUCAUCAUCCAUACUCGGACUGUUCAGCCUUACUUGUUGCUUGGUGGCUUCAUAGUACGCUGCCCAUCUCGACCAGUGUCCUCGUUGUACUCA